GGCUGCAUCACCGCCUUUGUUUGCAAACCACAGGCUCUCCCCGGGGCUCGGCGCACAGCCUCAGCCCGGCAAGCACUGCGGGGAGCAGCGGUCACGGGCCGUUCGAGCCCGGGGACGUUCCCCACAGCCGCUCGCCCCCUGCCCCCACCCCCACAAAAUGGACGCCCCCUCCCAGGGGCUCUCCGCCCCGCACGGUCCCGCGGGCGCACACGGAACAAAGCAGCCCUCGCCCGGCUCCUUUCGCGGAGCUACCGGCUCCGUGCCGCACGGAGAACGCGGGGCUCCGGGCUAGCGCUGCCGGCGGCCCCGUCGCUCGCUCCCUCACUCACCGCACAUGGCGAACCCUUCUCGCUGACAGAAGCGGGGCUCCCACUCGACGGCCCGGCUGAGGGCUUGCCCCUUCUCAGCAGCCUCUUAUAUUGCGGUCACCCUGCCUCCGCGCUCAUUGGCCGGGCCCGGGCCCCGAUCCGAGUGCACGGCGGGGGCAGAGCUCUGGCGGAGGCGGAGGGCUGCGGCGAUUCGCGCCCAGACCCCGCCCGGCUCCCCCUGCCCGGGGCGGCGGGUCUCACCCGGCCCAGCCCAGCGCGAGGCUGUCGGGCUGAGAGGGUGCGGCGGAAGCCUGUGAUUCCGCAUGCGGGCCCUACGGCCAGCACGGUGGCUGCGGGCUGGGCAGCCCCUCUCCCAGCUGGGCAGGGGAGGCUGUCCGCUCAGAAGCAUUUCAAAGCACUCCUUAGCUUGUUUCUUCGCUGCCGUGCAGGGCCAAAAACACCACCGCAAGGGCCAAAGGUGAUGGCCAUCGAUCUCUGCCUGUGGCAGAGGAUUCCCGGCAGCAGCUGCCUGAGCUCCCAGCUGGGUCGUGUGGUCCUUCUGCAAUUGCUCCCUUCCAUUUCCUUUGUGAGAAAAGCACCACAGAGCCUCCUGACGCUUCAGUCCUGCGCUGUGCAGACUCCUUUGGGCUGGACGCAGGCAGGGCAUGAAGGGCACGCAGGCCCAGGCCGGCUGCACCACUCUGUGCCCAGCCAUGCAGAUGCGACCCACACAGCUUUGCCUUUUCUUGACCAAAUCUGUGGCCUGUUAUCUCAGGAAACCUCUUCCAAGCAAAGGAGCAGCAGAGCAUGA
rnacentral:lncRNA from 1 species